UCUAAUAUGGCAGAUUAGUGCCAUGGAUUUAAACCCCAUUUAUAAAGGUUGACUUUUUUUAGAA
rnacentral:tRNA from 1 species